UGUCCAUUACCAUUCCCCAUUCCUGAUUCCAUCUUAUCCAUAUCAGUACUGGUGAGGUCUUAAGAUGUAAGAAAAGCAUAUUUACUUUUUUUGACAAUGAGGAAACAUCAUCCCUGCAAAGGAAGACUGACUACUUUCUUCCUGACUUUCUGAUCACAACAUUGCCCCAGGCACAAUGGGCAGCAGGAUAUCCUGCACCUGCCUGGGGAGGACGCCUGCGGUCUAGAAGGUGCAAGAUGAGUCAACAUACUUCGGUGGUAGGGGUCUGUCUGGUAGAAGUCACACAAGGGGCAGAGAGAAGCAGUAACGUAAGUGAAGCUAGAAAGAAAAGUCCUAAGCCAGAAGGAGCCCCAAGGCAAAGGCUAACUGGACAAGAAUGGCACUUGUGAGGAUAAGCAAAGAUAAGCAGACCACAUUAUGGUUUAGGAAAGGAAAGUGAGGGUGGACGUGGAUAUGCCAUGCUCAAGAGUUGGAACUAGGGUCUGUGACAAAACACUGCAUAAAAGGAUUCACAACCCUUCUUUUAUCUCUACAUGCAGGACAGAUGGGGUUCCUACGCAUAGUGCAUUGCCCUAGGCAAACUUAGAUCAGCAGUGGCAGCAUCUACUAAAUAGACUGAGUUACAAGCAUUUCUGGUCUUCCUGGCUGCAAUGGUAUCCCUUUCUCUCCAUCUAUGAAUGCAUCUCGGAGGCCAAAGACCACCAAAAGAAGACCACAAAACCAUAAGAAGCUGGCCACAGAAAUCAAGCUGGCACCUUACCCUGCUACCUGUGGACAUGAGUCCAUAGCACAGGAAUCAGACUCACCACUGGGUCUCCAAUCAUUCUUCAGGAGCAGAGCACAAAAGGGGUACCAGAGGCUUCUCUACCUGGUAGCCCCAGAGGGUGAUGGUGUGCAGCAUUUAAGAAUAUGGACUUCAACAUCAGAUUGACUUGGUUCAAAUUCUGACUCUGCCCCUUACCAUGUGACCGUAGACAAGAUGAGAAAAGUGAUGUGUAGAAAAGUCAAGCCAGAGAACCAGGAGGUAACAGAGCUGGGAUUUGAACCCAAGAAGCCUGGCCAAGAACUCUGUGCCCCUGAAUACUCUGCUUUUCUGCUGAUCCUGUCAUGUGAGUGUCAGGCCACUUAACUCUUUUUAAAAGUGGUCUGCUAUAAAUAAUUAUCGAGCACGUGUUUUAUCUCCUCUCAGCUCCCUGAGGCCUGUCAUGCUUCUUAUGCUUUAUGUUUCUUACAGUGCCUUACACUGGCCCUGGAAAAAACAUGACACCCUUACAUGAAUAUGUAGAAAUCAAACUUGCUCAAAAAACAGAUAUGAAUGUACAUGUGUACACAUACAUGUAUAUAUAUCGUCUUCAAAACAUAGAUGGUCAGGAUUGAUCAGAUGCAGUGCAAUAAACAGCUAUGUAAAAUGUCUCAAGCCAUGUUAAUCGCAUGAAUUAAAUGUAUUAAAAUACAUGUCCACUAGAGAAUGCAUUGAUAUUUUUCAUUAUCUGUUUUACUUCAUGGCAUCAGAGUAUAGAAUAAAAAUGGUAAUUAGAUGCAUCUUUUAAAGCAGCUUCUAAACUAUAUCUCUGAAAAAAAAUUUUUAAUAAAUUUUUUUUAAUGUUUAUUCACUUUUGAGAGACAGAGAGAGACAGAGCAUGAGCAGGGGAGGGUCAGAGAGAGAGGGAAACACAGAAUCCGAAGCAGGCUCCAGGCUCCGAGCUGUCAGCACAGAGCCCAACACGGGGCUCAAACACACAAACCGUGAGAUCAUGACCUGAGCUGAAGUCAGACACUUAACCGACUGAGCCACCCAGAUGCCCCUGAAAUUUAUUUCGAAUGGCAUUUCAGAACUAUUUUGAGUAAGAAAUAUAUGAUUUCUAAAGAGUGUGCUGUGGUUAAUAGGAUGGAUUCUGUUUGCACACUCAACUCCCCCUUCAGACCUCAAGAACUUAUGCCCCAGAUGCUGCAGGCUGCCAGCUGCCAGGCCUCAAAGCUAAGCUCUCACCAGACAUUACCCUCAACUGGGGAGAGCUGCCUCAAGCAAUGUUGUUCCUUCCUAUAUUUCCCCAGAGGGACCCUGCACCCUAUCACUGGUCAAUGUAGGAAUAUAAUGGUAAGGCCCUCCUUGCAACAGCUUGGGACCACUUUGGCAGGCCAUUACCAUUCCAGAGCUCCCUGGAGGAGCCAGCUGUGGCCUUCCUUGAAACUCUAUCAACUCAGCCAACUUCUACCCUCUGCCCAGUCCCGCUUUCUUUCCUUUCCUUCUGCAGGUAUGCAUCCUGAGAGCCCUCCAAAUAAACUUCCUCAUGCUAA